rfam:Jatropha curcas cultivar GZQX0401 scaffold601_60, whole genome shotgun sequence.
CAGCCAUGACGAGGGCAUUGUCUAUGAAUGUCUCUGUACCUCUCCUAAACUUCAAAAAGACUAUCAUCAUGCUUUUGUUUGAAAGUAGCAAUCUUCGUCUUGAGUUU